rnacentral:lncRNA from 1 species
AGAGAGGCUAUAUACAGUAGAGAGGCUAUAUACAGUAGAGAGGAUAUAUACAGUAGAGAGGCUAUAACAGUAGAGAGGCUAUAUACAGUAGAGAGGCUAUAUACAGUAGAGAGGAUAUAUACAGUAGAGAGGCUAUAUACAGUAGAGAGGUUAUAUACAGUAGAGAGGCUAUACACAGUAGAGAGGCUAUAUACAGUAGAGAGGCUAUAUACAGUAGAGAGGCUAUAUACAGUAGAGAGGCUAUAUACAGUAGAGAGGUUAUAUACAGUAGAGAGGCUAUAUACAGUAGAGAGGCUAUAUACAGUAGAGAGGUUAUAUACAGUAGAGAGGUUAUAUACAGUAGAGGUUAUAUACAGUAGAGAGGCUAUACACAGUAGAGAGGCUAUAUACAGUAGAGAGGCUAUAUACAGUAGAGAGGUUAUAUACAGUAGAGAGGCUAUAUACAGUAGAGAGGUUAUAUACAGUAGAGAGGCUAUAUACAGUAGAGAGGCUAUAUACAGUAGAGAGGUUAUAUACAGUAGAGAGGUUAUAUACAGUAGAGGUUAUAUACAGUAGAGAGGCUAUAUACAGUAGAGAGGUUAUAUACAGUAGAGAGGCUAUAUACAGUAGAGAGGUUAUAUACAGUAGAGAGGCUAUAUACAGUAGAGAG